AACCUAGCACACCUGCGGUGUGUACCUGCGGAGGGAUCAUUACAUACAGUAGAUUUUCUACUGAGCAGCGGUGUCUGAAAGGCCCAGCUUUGGCUGCGGUCAUAAGUAAGCGCCCUGUCUUCACCCUUGUUUUUUGUGGACUUGUGUUUCCUUGGUGGGCUCGCCUGCCAGAUGGACAACUCUAUAACCUUUUUUGAAUUUUCAAUCAGCGUCUGAAUAAAUAUAAUCAUUUACAACUUU
rnacentral:misc_RNA from 1 species